rnacentral:lncRNA from 1 species
AGGACUUCAACAUAGGCGAUCUUGUUCUCCUUUUUAACUCUAGGUUGUGACUUUUUCCUGGUAAGUUGCGCUAAAGAUGGAUUGGCCCUUACGAGGUCUCAAAGAUCCUGAAGUCUGGAGCAGUUGAAAUCAAGAACCACUCUUGUAAUCCUUUCAUAGUAAAUGGGAAAAGGCUAAAGCACUGCCAAGGAGGUGACAUCCCUAC